ACGGUCAGGGCUCGCUACGCUACACCCUGAACGCAGACCCAGGGCAGCGGCCUCGGCCGCCUGAGGCCACUGCCGAAGACUUCGCCGCCAGUCGUAACAUCACGUUACUUCUGUCCCUCGCCUCACAGACUCCUUCGCUCUUUCCACUACAGCGAGAGGACUUCUCCAGGGCCGCAUCACCCUGCGGAGGGAGGAAGACACGGUCUCUCACGAAAGGGUCUCCAGACAGUUCCGCUGCUCCGGGAGCAGCCCCCGGCCCCGCCCCCGCGUGCGCCUGGCCCCACCCCGAAGCGCUCCAUGACCAGCCUCCACGUGCAUCCGCCCCAGACAGGCCAGGCCUGGGAGGAGCCGAAGCCCCACUCCCCGCCUUCUUCAUGAGAUCGUCCCUAUUGACGUCGACAGACAGAAGCCGCGUCCAGUGAGAAGGAAAGAACGGCCGCCAUAGCCCUAUGGGCUGCUACAACACCAAAACGCAUCCACCUAACUGGCUGACGCUACACCUUGGUCUUUCCGGGUCCUUGCACGCUUCGCUCCAACUCCUGCAGAGCUGAGCCCGAAGGGAAUCCGGAAGGGACACGCUGAACAGGAACAGAAAUGAAAAAAAGUCGCUGGCAGAGUAGAAGAAGACAUGGGAGAAGAAGCCACCAGCAGAACCCUUGGUUCAGACUCCGUGAUUCUGAAGACAGGUCUGACUCCCGGGCAGCACAGCCCGCUCACGAUUCCAGCCACGGUGAUGACGAGUCUCCGUCAACCUCGUCUGGCACAGCUGGGACCUCCUCUGUGCCAGAGCUACCUGGGUUUUACUUUGACCCUGAAAAGAAACGCUACUUCCGCUUGCUCCCUGGACAUAACAACUGCAACCCCCUGACGAAAGAGAGCAUCCGGCAGAAGGAGAUGGAGAGCAAGAGACUGCGGCUGCUCCAGGAAGAAGACAGACGGAAAAAGAUUGCCAGGAUGGGAUUUAAUGCAUCUUCCAUGCUACGAAAAAGCCAGCUGGGUUUUCUCAACGUCACCAAUUACUGCCAUUUAGCCCACGAGCUGCGUCUCAGCUGCAUGGAGAGGAAAAAGGUCCAGAUUCGAAGCAUGGAUCCCUCCGCCUUGGCAAGCGACCGAUUUAACCUCAUACUGGCAGAUACCAACAGUGACCGGCUCUUCACAGUGAACGAUGUUAAAGUCGGAGGCUCCAAGUAUGGUAUCAUCAACCUGCAAAGUCUGAAGACCCCUACGCUCAAGGUGUUCAUGCACGAAAACCUCUACUUCACCAACCGGAAGGUGAACUCGGUGUGCUGGGCCUCGCUGAAUCACUUGGAUUCCCACAUUCUGCUAUGCCUCAUGGGACUCGCAGAGACUCCAGGCUGUGCCACCCUGCUCCCAGCAUCACUGUUUGUCAAUAGUCACCCAGCAGGAAUAGACCGGCCUGGCAUGCUCUGCAGUUUCCGGAUCCCUGGUGCCUGGUCCUGUGCCUGGUCCCUGAAUAUCCAAGCAAAUAACUGCUUCAGUACAGGCUUGUCUCGGCGGGUCCUGUUGACCAACGUGGUGACGGGACACCGGCAGUCCUUUGGGACCAACAGUGAUGUCUUGGCCCAGCAGUUUGCUCUCAUGGCUCCUCUGCUGUUUAAUGGCUGCCGCUCUGGGGAAAUCUUUGCCAUUGAUCUGCGUUGUGGAAAUCAAGGCAAGGGAUGGAAGGCCACCCGCCUGUUUCAUGAUUCAGCAGUGACCUCUGUGCGGAUCCUCCAAGAUGAGCAAUACCUGAUGGCUUCAGACAUGGCUGGAAAGAUCAAGCUGUGGGACCUGAGGACCACGAAGUGCGUAAGGCAGUACGAAGGCCACGUGAAUGAGUACGCCUACCUGCCCCUGCAUGUGCACGAGGAAGAAGGAAUCCUGGUGGCAGUGGGCCAGGACUGCUACACGAGAAUCUGGAGCCUCCACGAUGCCCGCCUACUGAGAACCAUACCCUCCCCGUACGCUGCCUCCAAGGCCGACAUUCCCAGUGUGGCCUUCUCGUCGCGGCUGGGGGGCUCCCGGGGCGCGCCGGGGCUGCUCAUGGCUGUCGGGCAGGACCUUUACUGUUACUCCUACAGCUAAUUCUGCAGGGCACAGCCCAGAGCCAUGUGGAUUUGACUUACGGGAGUAAAGCGUAACUUUUUACUGCAUCUAAUGGGGGCGUUUUAAGUGACACUCAGUGUACACAGAUCCCAUCCUCUGGCUGCUAGGAGAGAAGUGCUGAAUGUUCCAUGUGGAGACGCUCAGGAAAGUUAUUUGAGUUAAAUUGCUGGCUCAGAGAGCUUGGAAGUCCUUUUCAUAAAAGGAUCAUGGUGGCACAGGAAGGGAUGGCUGGAUAGUAGAAUGCAUCCUCCACAUCUUCAGGAAAGGACAGAGAUACCUCAACAGAAGUUGGGCAGAGACAGGCAAGUGCUGCCUCCAUUUCCAGCCUCAUCAUGGUUCCUGGGCCAUAGCAAAGCCUGGUUGAGGGGAAGAGGCCCAGGGACUGCAUCUUUCCAGCUUUUCUUCACAUACACAAGCAGAUGGUGCCACAGUACUCCCUGAUAUUAGCUAAUAAGCACCUACUGUGUGUCAGCCGCCCCCCCCCCCCUUUUUUUUUUUUGAGACAUGGUCUCACUCUGUCGCCCAAGCUGGAGUGCAUGAGUUGCAGUAGCACAAUUACUACUCACUGCAGUCUUGACCUCCUUGGGCUUGAGCAAUCCUCCCACCUCAGUCUUCUGAGCAGUUGGGCCCACAGGUGUGCACCACCACACUCAGUUAAUUUUUUAUUUUUUGUAGAGAUGGCGUCUCCCUAUGUUUCCCAGGCUGGUCUUGAACUCCUAGGCUCAAGUGAUCCUCUGGCCUCAGCCUCCCAAAGUGCUGGCAUUACAGACACGAGCCAUUUGUAAGACACUUCUCACCCUCACACUAACCCCACGGCACAGUUUGGGAAACAAGUUUGUUGAGUUAAAGUGGUUUGGCAAGAAGGGCUGAGCUGGGAUUAAGAUUCCGCUCUUCCCAACUCUGAAGCCCCUGUUCCCCUCACUGCUGCGUCCUGCUCAUUUUCCAGGCCCAGGUUAACAACAAUGGGAAAGAGUUGAGAGAUACUUUUCUAACAGGGUAAACCCUCCUCCCAGCCCAACUCCACCAUCCUGGGCCACUCCUCUACUCACAUGAUCCUUUGUACCAUUUGGUCCAAUUGAUCUUGAUCUCAUCCAUUUUUACCACAUGGGUCAGAGACAAGGGUGAGAUUUUUCUCAUUUCUCGUGGGAGAAAGGCAAGCUCUGCCAAGCCCAGAAUUUCUGGCCCCUCCUGUCCCAGCACAAACCAUUCACAGUCUUCCCACAAUUAUUCCUGGUGCAGGGUUUCAUUUCUAGGAAGCCUUCUGUCCCUCAACCUCACCAGCCCUUGGCUUUUCAGCCCAGAGGCUCAGGACAUUUGAGGAUUGCGUGUUUGGCUGUGGGCAUGGGGAAUGCAGUGACUAUGCCUGGUUGGCAUCCCAUACCACACCCAGGGGAAUGGGGAAGCCAAGAGGUGGACUGGAAGCAGGCUCAGGCCUCUCUCUCCUUGCCCCCAAGGGCAUCCUCUCUAGCAGGUGGCCACUACAAUGCUGAUGUCAAACUGGUCAGUGGGUUCAGUGGAAGGUUUGGCUACCGCGGGAACACCCCAGCUCUCCGUCGGAGCACGACUGUCUUUGGAGAGGUCACCCACUUCCCUCUGUUCUAACAGCAUCUCUUCCCUUCAUAGCCCUCAACCUGAAUUUCUAAGACAGAUGUUUAGGUGAACUCUCAAUGUUAUUUUACAUUAAAAAAAUUUGUGUCUCCAA